rnacentral:rRNA from 1 species
GCGACGGUUGUCCCGGUUUAAGCGUGUAGGUGUGUGUUCCAGGUAAAUCCGGUUCACUUUAACACUGAGGCGUGACGACGAGGCACUACGGUGCUGAAGCAACAAAUGCCCUGCUUCCAGGAAAAGCCUCUAAGCAUCAGGUAACAUCAAAUCGUACCCCAAACCGACACAGGUGGUCAGGUAGAGAAUACCAAGGCGCUUGAGAGAACUCGGGUGAAGGAACUAGGCAAAAUGGUGCCGUAACUUCGGGAGAAGGCACGCUGACACGUAGGUGAAGUGAUUUACUCAUGGAGCUGAAGUCAGUCGAAGAUACCAGCUGGCUGCAACUGUUUAUUAAAAACACAGCACUGUGCAAACACGAAAGUGGACGUAUACGGUGUGACGCCUGCCCGGUGCCGGAAGGUUAAUUGAUGGGGUCAGCGCAAGCGAAGCUCCUGAUCGAAGCCCCGGUAAACGGCGGCCGUAACUAUAACGGUCCUAAGGUAGCGAAAUUCCUUGUCGGGUAAGUUCCGACCUGCACGAAUGGCGUAAUGAUGGCCAGGCUGUCUCCACCCGAGACUCAGUGAAAUUGAACUCGCUGUGAAGAUGCAGUGUACCCGCGGCAAGACGGAAAGACCCCGUGAACCUUUACUAUAGCUUGACACUGAACAUUGAGCCUUGAUGUGUAGGAUAGGUGGGAGGCUUUGAAGUGUGGACGCCAGUCUGCAUGGAGCCGACCUUGAAAUACCACCCUUUAAUGUUUGAUGUUCUAACGUGGACCCGUAAUCCGGGUUGCGGACAGUGUCUGGUGGGUAGUUUGACUGGGGCGGUCUCCUCCUAAAGAGUAACGGAGGAGCACGAAGGUUGGCUAAUCCUGGUCGGACAUCAGGAGGUUAGUGCAAUGGCAUAAGCCAGCUUGACUGCGAGCGUGACGGCGCGAGCAGGUGCGAAAGCAGGUCAUAGUGAUCCGGUGGUUCUGAAUGGAAGGGCCAUCGCUCAACGGAUAAAAGGUACUCCGGGGAUAACAGGCUGAUACCGCCCAAGAGUUCAUAUCGACGGCGGUGUUUGGCACCUCGAUGUCGGCUCAUCACAUCCUGGGGCUGAAGUAGGUCCCAAGGGUAUGGCUGUUCGCCAUUUAAAGUGGUACGCGAGCUGGGUUUAGAACGUCGUGAGACAGUUCGGUCCCUAUCUGCCGUGGGCGCUGGAGAACUGAGGGGGGCUGCUCCUAGUACGAGAGGACCGGAGUGGACGCAUCACUGGUGUUCGGGUUGUCAUGCCAAUGGCACUGCCCGGUAGCUAAAUGCGGAAGAGAUAAGUGCUGAAAGCAUCUAAGCACGAAACUUGCCCCGAGAUGAGUUCUCCCUGAGACUUAGAGUCUCCUGAAGGAACGUUGAAGACGACGACGUUGAUAGGCCGGGUGUGUAAGCGCAGCGAUGCGUUGAGCUAACCGGUACUAAUGAACCGUGAGGCUUAACCUUACA